rnacentral:rRNA from 1 species
CUACGGGAGGCAGCAGUGGGGAAUCUUGCACAAUGGAGGAAACUCUGAUGCAGCGAUGCCGCGUGAGUGAAGAAGGCCCUUGGGUUGUAAAGCUCUUUCGUCGGGGAAGAAAAUGACUGUACCCGAAUAAGAAGGUCCGGCUAACUUCGUGCCAGCAGCCGCGGUAAUACGAAGGGACCUAGCGUAGUUCGGAAUUACUGGGCUUAAAGAGUUCGUAGGUGGUUGAAAAAGUUAGUGGUGAAAUCCCAGAGCUUAACUCUGGAACUGCCAUUAAAACUUUUCAGCUAGAGUAUGAUAGAGGAAAGCAGAAUUUCUAGUGUAGAGGUGAAAUUCGUAGAUAUUAGAAAGAAUACCAAUUGCGAAGGCAGCUUUCUGGAUCAUUACUGACACUGAGGAACGAAAGCAUGGGUAGCGAAGAGGAUUAGAUACCCUCGUAGUCCAUGCCGUAAACGAUGUGUGUUAGACGUUGGAAAUUUAUUUUCAGUGUCGCAGCGAAAGCGAUAAACACACCGCCUGGGGAGUACGACCGCAAGGUUAAAACUCAAAGGAAUUGACGGA